UGGCGGACGGGUGAGUAAUGUCUGGGAAACUGCCUGAUGGAGGGGGAUAACUACUGGAAACGGUAGCUAAUACCGCAUAACGCCGCAAGACCGAAGAGGGGGACCUUCGGGCCUCUUGCCAUCAGAUGUGCCCAGAUGGGAUUAGCUAGUAGGUGGGGUAACGGCUCACCUAGGCGACGAUCCCUAGCUGGUCUGAGAGGAUGACCAGCCACACUGGAACUGAGACACGGUCCAG
rnacentral:rRNA from 1 species